rnacentral:rRNA from 1 species
UACAGAGGUGGCAAGCGUUGUUCGGAAUUACUGGGCGUAAAGGGCGCGUAGGCGGUCUUGUAAGUCUUGUGUGAAAUCCCUCGGCUCAACUGAGGAACUGCACGGGAUACUGCGAGACUUGAGUUCGGGAGAGGGAAGCGGAAUUCCGGGUGUAGCGGUGAAAUGCGUAGAUAUCAGGAAGAACACCUGCGGUGUAGGCGGCUUACUGGACCGUAACUGACGCUGAGGCACGAAAGCGUGGGUAGCAAACAGG